rnacentral:rRNA from 1 species
CCUACGGGUGGCAGCAGUGAGGAAUAUUGGUCAAUGGGCGGGAGCCUGAACCAGCCAAGUCGCGUGCGGGAAGACGGUCCUAUGGAUUGUAAACCUCUUUUGGCGGGGAGCAAUGCCGGUCACGCGUGCCCGGUGGGAGAGUACCCGCAGAAUAAGCAUCGGCUAACUCCGUGCCAGCAGCCGCGUUAAAACGGAGGAUGCGAGGGUUAUCCGGAUUUAUUGGGUUUAAAGGUGGCGUAGGCGGAUGUUUAAGUCAGCGGUAAAAUGUCCGGGCUCAACCCGGGCCGGCCGUUGAAACUGGGGAGCUUGAGUGGGCGGGAAGUAUGCGGAAUGCGUGGUGUAGCGGUGAAAUGCAUAGAUAUCACGAAGAACUCCGAUUGCGAAGGCAGCUUGCCGGCGCCCGACUGACGCUGAGGCACGAAAGCGUGGGGAUCGAACAGGAUUAGAUACCCCGGUAGUC